GAUGAAGAACGCAGCGAAAUGCGAUAAGUAGUGUGAAUUGCAGAAUUCAGUGAAUCAUCGAAUCUUUGAACGCACAUUGCGCCCCUUGGUAUUCCAUGGGGCAUGCCUGUUCGAGCGUCAUUUGUACCUUCAAGCUCUGCUUGGUGUUGGGUGUUUGUCUCGCCUCUGCGUGUAGACUCGCCUCAAAACAAUUGGCAGCCGGCGUAUUGAUUUCGGAGCGCAGUACAUCUCGCGCUUUGCACUCAUAACGACGACGUCCAAAAGUACAUUUUUACACUCUUGACCUCGGAUCAGGUAGGGAUACCCGCUGAACUUAAGCAUAUCAAAGCGGAGGA
rnacentral:misc_RNA from 1 species